CCCCACCCCAUGCCCUAUUUGGUCAUGGCUUUUUCUCGAAGUCGUAAGUGGGAUGGGGCUGGAUUCUUGUCUGUGGCACAUUCUUGAAUGUGCCAUUCUGCCACACUGGCACCGGCCGGGCCACCUCUGUCAGGGAAAGAGGAGUAAGGGUGGCCAUUUGGGAUUCAGCAGUAAACAAGACAGAAAAAAAUCUCUGCCCUCACGGAGCUGACAUUAUCGCUAGGAGACAUACAAGACAAACAGAACAGGCUCAGCAAGUCCUUACUGAAUGAUGUGUGGAUUAAUGAUGCCCGUAUGGUGCGCGGGCUAUGUGGAGAAGACACAGAGAAACAGACCUCAGGCAUGGAUUGCUGCUGGAGUUCCUAAUCUAGUUGGUUUCUAGUGGGAAAGAGGAAUCUGGAUUUUUAGUACAGUCUGCUGGGCGUUGGGGCUGGCCUUCUGUGUCAGGAAUAUUCUGGCUGCAAGUAACAGAUACUGACCAACAAUGGCUUAAACAAA